CGCGUAGGCGGCUUAGUAAGUCGGAUGUGAAAGCCCCGGGCUUAACCUGGGAAUUGCAUUCGAUACUGCUGAACUAGAGUAUGGUAGAGGGAAGUGGAAUUUCCGGUGUAGCGGUGAAAUGCGUAGAUAUCGGAAGGAACACCAGUGGCGAAGGCGACUUCCUGGGCCAAUACUGACGCUGAGGUGCGAAAGCGUGGGGAGCAAACA
rnacentral:rRNA from 1 species